GCCAUUUGCUCAGCUGCUGCUGGCGCGAGAUCGUGGGGGUUUAAAGCUCGUGAGUGCUUGCUAGACAUGGGUCUUACCAGUCAUGUGCAUCUGCAGCCUCUUCACAUGUUACCCCCACCCCCAGAUGGAGUCCGGCCUCAUAUACAGGUGAACUCCUCCUGGGGGUGAAUGCCUGUCUCAGGUGAGAUGUCUUGAUCUGGGAAGGGUGCCUGGAGUGAGAGUCUUGGCCAGCUCCUGACCCAGCUGCCCAGGUUAAAGAUGCUGGAGUUGAUGGCUCCACUGCACUGAGUCACAGCAGGUAGCCAGAGGCCUGUGGUCUGAAGUGCCUGGAAUGGAGCCUUGGAUUUCCUGCCAGGGAAUGGGCAGUCAGCCAUUGGAGCUGCAGGGCUGCCUGGAAGCAUGGCUCAUCCGAGCACUGCAGGUUGGAGCAUGUGGGCCAGAUGCAGCUUUUCCAUCACACCUGCCUCCAGGAAGAGCUCUCUGCUGAGCUGUGACAAACCCAGCAGCAGCUUAGUGUUGGUGGGGGCAGUCGGCCCCUUAGUGUGUGUAGUUCUGUGUGUACUGAUGGUUAAAUAAAACAUCUCUGCACAGAG